AGAAAGAAGGAGCAAUGGGGUUAAGUACAUAGAAGGAAUGGUGGUGAAGAGCCUCGGGUGUCAGGUCAGAGUCAUCUGGAAUCAUAGAUCAUCACAGUUGGAGACCAUCUGGGACAACGAUGAUCCCUCAUGCUAAUAAAGAAGCAAAGAAAAACUGAAAGUUUUGACAAGAGAGCAAGAAAUACGUCUUCCCCUUGACAGGAACAAUGUGUGACAUGAAAGACCUCAGGUGCUGUGCUGGAUUUUGACAUUCCUUCAGAAGAAAGCACCUCCUGCCUGUUCUGUUCAAUCCCAGUCCAGGAGAUUAGGACACAUCACGCAUGGAGAGAAGACCGUGUAAGGACACAGUGAGAAGACCGUCGUCCGCAAGCCAAGGAGAGAAGCCUCAGAAAAAAACCUGCCAG